CCCUUAGAUGUCCGGGGCCGCACGCGCGCUACACUGAAGGAAUCAGCGUGGAUCUCCCCCCUGCUCCGAAAGGAGUGGGAAACCCGUUGAAUCUCCUUCGUGCUAGGGAUUGGGGCUUGUAAUUCUUCCCCAUGAACGAGGAAUGCCUAGUAAACGCAAGUCAUCAGCUUGCAUUGAUUACGUCCCUGCCCUUUGUACACACCGCCCGUCGCUCCUACCGAUUGAAUGUUCCGAUGAAUACCAUGGACUGAGAGUAUGAAUGGGUUCGCCUAUUUCUGCUUCUCGGGAAGUGGAGUAAAUCUUAACAUUUAGAGGAAGGAGAAGUCGUAACA
rnacentral:rRNA from 1 species